AUUGAACGCUGGCGGCAGGCCUAACACAUGCAAGUCGAGCGGUAACAGAGAGAAGCUUGCUUUUCUGCUGACGAGCGGCGGACGGGUGAGUAAUGCCUAGGAAUCUGCCUAGUAGUGAGGGAUAACUUGCCGAAAGGUAAGCUAAUACCGCAUACGUCCUACGGGAGAAAGGAGGGGACCUUCGGGCCUUUCGCUAUUAGAUGAGCCUAGGUCGGAUUAGUUAGUUGGUGAGGUAAUGGCUCACCAAGACCGCGAUCCGUAACUGGUCUGGGAGGAUGAUCAGUUACACUGGAACUGAGACACGGUCCAGACUCCUACGGGAGGCAGCAGUGGGGAAUAUUGGACAAUGGGGGGAACCCUGAUCCAGCCAUGCCGCGUGUGUGAAGAAGGUCUUAGGAUUGUAAAGCACUUUAAGUUGGGAGGAAGAGCAGUUAACUAAUAUUUGACUGUUUUGACGUUACCGACAGAAUAAGCACCGGCUAACUUCGUGCCAGCCGCCGCCGUAACAC
rnacentral:rRNA from 1 species